CGGCGAGCGCAGCGUCCGCCUGGAGAAGAUGGGGACGGUCCACCGGCUGACACUGCGGCAAACCGCGGCCCACAUGAGCGGCCUGGUGGAGUUCACAUCCGGGAGAGCCAGAAGUCAAGCUCAGCUCCGAGUCGCAGGAAAUCCCUGAAAGAAACUCCAAACCUGCAGUCGUCUGACGCUUCAAUAUGUAUAAAUAUUUUAUUUAGUCUCUUUGAAAGCAGCUUAAACUACCUUACUGUCUCCUGAAACGUAUUUUAAUUCAAACUGUAUCUUCUGUUGUGUUGUAAAUAAUGUUGAAGUGAUUUGACUGGACCUGGUUUGUUAAAGCUGUUACUGUCAAUAAACAGCGAGAUGAUUCAGAAACUAUUUACAGUUUGGUUCUAGCGAUCCUGUUCGGGUGUGUUCAAGUUUUAAAAUCUACACAGUGAAUCCCUGAAAACAGAAUUUGAAAUAAAAAUAAAGUUGUUUUUUUUCUUAACUCCACCAGACAGAGAAUUGGAAACAAAUUAACCUGCACAAGUUAAGAAAAUAAUUAUAAAGAGUCAAGUUAACAGCUACUGAGCAUCAAGCUAACAGGAGAUCAGUGUGUAGCUAACAUCUGAGUGCUAAGCUAACAGUUACUGAAUGUAAAGCUAACAGGUACUCAGCAUGAAGCUAACAGAUUUUUAUUUUGUCGGAAUGGUGGAGAGGGAAGAGGAGCAAAAAUAUAAAGCUUAAAAUGGUUGUUUUGUUUAUUAUGCAGUGUCAAAAUGAAUGAAAAACAGAAACUGAAGAAAUAAAGUUAGUUCUAUCUUUUAUGAAUUUGGUGAUGCAGAUGAGCAAUCUACUGAUUAGAUGGAUGGAUAACUUCCUGUAUGGCUAACUGCUAAUGUGGCUAUGCUAAAGCCAUUGCUCAUAUAGGAACCUAUCCAUUGUUUAGCUGUCAAAAUGACAAAAAGUAAACAUUGCAAUAAUGAUAUGAAAAUAUAUUCAGUAUAGAUUCCAUUUUAAAAAUACUUUUUAAAUCAUUUAAUAUGUUAUAAGUUGUUACAUUUUCUUGGACAAAUAUUCUCAGUUAACUUUUCAAACCCGUUUUGUGUUCAUUAGCAGAACUCUAAUUUGUUUAAGCCAGUUCCUGUACAUAUAUCAAAGGAAGUUCCUAAAUAGUUAAAAAAAAAAGUAUUUUAACAACAAAAAGCAGUACAACUAAAGACAUUUUCACAAACUCUGAUUCUAGACUGAGUCACAGUUAAUCAGAUAAAUCAUCAUGAUUUAUCUGAUUAACACCAGAUCAUGUAACACCAUCAUCUUCUUUCAUACAAUAGCUUAGAAUCAAGUUUAGUUAAACAGCAGCAUGUGUGAAGUUGUCAGUAUCUUACCUGCUGCAGACAGUAGUGGAGAAUCAUUGAGAAAUGAGAAUGCUAACAGCUAUUCAAGCCUAAAGCUAUUCAAACUGAUAGCUAAUCAGAGCCAAGCCAAAGGCUACCAAAACAAGCUAGCAACUUCACAAAGUAAAGCUGACAGCUCAAGAGUAACGUUAACAUCUACUUAGCUAAUAAAUAUUCAAAACAAAGUAAAAUAACAUUUAGCUUGGGUAGCUGUUAGUUUAUGCUAACAGCUACUCAAAGUGGCUACAAAAGGUAACCAAAUGCUGCUCAGAGUAAAGCUAUUGUCUCAGUACAACAAUAACAGCUAUUAAUGCUAAAUGCUACUCAGACUGAAGCUAACAACAGCUUAGUCAAGCUAACCAGCUAUGCAAAGGAAAUCUGACAUCUACUAGUAAUGAAGCUAACACCUUAUUUAUAGGAAUAGCUGCAUAAAAGAAAGCUAACGGCUACUCAAAGUAACAUUUACCGUAAUUUCCGGACUAUAGAGCGCACCUGAUUAUAAGCCGCACCCCCUACAUUUUUAAAGGAAACACAUUUUUGUACAUACAUAAGCCACACCGGUGUAUAAGCCGCAUGUUCCUACAUUGAAACAUGAGAUAUUUACAAAGAAAUAUCUCAUAUCUCAGAAGGUGUUUUAAAAGUUUUAAUAAUAUGCCAUAGCUUUUCUUUCUGAACAGCAGCAAUAUAGCAAAACAACACUAACAGGGCUGGUUUAAAUAACAUACGGUUAAAAGUCACGGAGAGCCGUCAUCCUCUUCCUCCUGUGCACUGAAACCAUGGAAGUCUUCUUCCUCAGUGUCUGUUUCCUUCUUUAUCGGCUCGAUUGAUUUUAACUUGAAAGCUGCAUCAUAUGCAUCUCUUCUUGCAUUCUCCAUGAUGAGGGUCUGUUCAAGCUACUUUUAUUCAUGCACAAAGCACGAUGUUACAUUAGUCUUCCUCUACAGAUAUAUUCCAGUUGUCUCACACUUACCUUUUCUGCUCCAGCGCCCCUACUGGCCGUUAGAAAAAAUGUAUAAAUAAGCCGCAUCGUUGUAUAAGCCGCAGGGUCGAAAGCGUGAGACAAAAGUCGCGGCUUAUAGUCCGGAAAUUACGGUAAUACUAAUGCUAUAGCUAGCUUUGAGUGCACCACAUUUAGCCACCAUAGCAUGUUUAUCAGUUAUAGUUCAUGCAAUUUUAUGCCAAUUUAUUUAUAGUUUCUAUGUCAAAGUGUUUGCUUUAUCCUUUUACACGUGUUGCGUGUCGUUUUAUGAACAUAAUUUGUGCAUUGAAGUCACUGAUAAACCUUGAUGUUGAGAUAAAUUGGUUGAAGUUACAGCACCCAGAAUAAAGCUAACAAUUUAAGCUAACAUGUCCUCAAAAACAUAACAGCUACUCAAAGUAGUCAUCUACCAAUGUAAUUAUAAGCUCUUAGCUUGACUCCAACAUGAGAACGUAAUUCUGCAUCUCCAAACAUUUAGAAAUAAUGACUUCUGUCCACUGCAGACGAUACUGACUGUUCACUGCUACGUUUUAUAGCCUAGCUUAAAUAAAGCUAAUCUGUCACCUUAAAGAUAAAUUUUUGCUACAAUAAAUGGCUGAGUUAUUAUUAAAGAAUCUUCUUUCCUGGGUUAAAGUAAAGUAGGGAUUUAGUGGAGUAAUUUUCUGAAGCACAUGUAUUGAACAGGCAAUUUACACAGUUUUUAGCAUAAUGAGCAUUUUUUAUUUUGAAGCAUAGCAUAUUUUGUGCAAAUCUUCAAACAUCAGGAAAGAUUAGUGUUUCUAUUUACAAAAGUAACGAUCAACAUUUGUAUUCAGGUGUAUUGAAUGUUUAAGGUUAUAUUUUACCCCAGUUAUUUUUAUGUAAGGCGAUGACGUCGAUGCCUUAUUUUCUGUGUGAUGGUGGUAAUAAUCCUGUUGUACAAAUGCUACAUUAUACUGACAUUAAAAUGAGUAAUGGUGGCUCAUUUGUCCAGGACUAUUUGUAGAAGACUGCGCAACUGUUCACACAAUCUAGUUACAAAGGUCACAGCUGUCAUGUAACACACACACACACACACCAACACACACACUCUGUUCUCCAGUUAUCUACAGAGGCUAUGGUAAGUCCAUGAAGCAUUCCGAUGAUAACUGGUGGAUUUAUCCAACACGCUGUGAGAUUAUGAGAUUAAAUGCAAGUUGUUGUUUUUUUUUUUAAAGCGUGGUCCUUGUAGUGGGAAGCCCGAUGGAGCCUGCGGCUCGCCAGCCUCCGUGGCCCCAAAUCGACAGUCGCUGGUGACUCUUUGUACCCGAACAUCCGUUAACUCGAAGUCUUCUGCUUCCUCAGAAUGUCGUAGAUGUCGUCCA